CACGUGUGCUGCUGUUUGUACUCUUACCUUGAUACAGCGCCUUUCCCCACAGUCACUGUCUGGGAUGGUUCAGGAAGUGUUCAUCUGUCUGGAGAAAAAUGGUCAUUAAGGAGCAACAAUAUCCCACCGUACACUCAUACUGACUUUUGACACGCUUAUUUGAUUUGCAGUUUGGCUCGGACUGAAUCAUCAGCAGGCUACGUGACAAUGUUCGCAAGCUGUUAUAUUGACGUUUACGAGGUUGAAACACAGAAUGAGGAAUUACAUGGACAAGAUACGGAUUUCGAAUGGAAAAAGUGGGACCCUUAAGAUUCUGCAUACAGAAGACAUGCUGUUCUGCAAAAGCCAACAUAAAAGAAGAAAAAUGUUGAGUUGCUUCGCCAACAACCACACAAACAAACAUUUGUAUAAGGUCAUUACCAAGCACACAGAACACAAAACAAUCAACUCUCUUUUCUAUAAUAAUCAGAAGCAUGUGAGAAUAUUCUAGAAAAGGCUAAUACAAUCAAUGGAACAAAUCUAAACUAAGUCCAUCUAAACAAGCCUAAGAGGAACUCUGUUUUGGGAACCUGACCUUUGAGCAAGAUCUCUCCUCACAGUCACCUCACUCUCCCAUUUCUAUAGUGAGAACAAGAAAUAACUCCACUACCACUGGUUAUUCCUCAUUUAAAAUCAGUUUAUCUACUGAAAUACCUUUGUGACUGUACUUGUAAAUAAUAUUAUAUAGUACUAUACAGAAAGAAAGACAUAUUGUCUGAGUUUGAUUUCAUUUUAAAUUUGACUCAUCAAGGAAGCUUCGCCCUUUCUUCUGUUUUGUUUUUUCUUGUUGACUUUUUUAUUGCAUCAUAUACUUAUGUAAUUACUCGCUAUUAAUAUGUAUUCUAAAUGAGAGUGCAGUCCCAUUUUGCAAUUGUGAAACUGAAUUCUGUUAGACAGCAGUUGAAAACACCCCUACACAUGUGUUUUUCUGUAUGUCAAUAAAUGUGCUUAAUCUGUCCAAGAUCGUUUGGCUCUUGCCACCUUCCACUGUAACCACAUUAUAGCUCACAGAAGAAAAAAAAAUAAAAAUAAAAAAUUCAGCCUUAGCAUAAUGUCAAUUCAACUUUUAAUCAUCACUACCUAUGUUUUGGUUAGAUUAAAAAUAAGCGUAAUACAGUCACUCUUGAUCCACAUUAAAUGUGAAAUUAUUAUUACUGCAUUAAUAAAGUAUAGAAUUUGC
ensembl:lncRNA